AUGGGCCUUCCCUUAAGCCCAAACAUAUUCUUAGCCCAAAAUAACUGAUUUUUGAUGGCCCACUAUGGCCCAAAAUAGCAAAGUCCAAGGAAUGGCCUAACCAGAGGCCCAAAUAACGAAAAACCCAAUCCAGUGAGUACGUGGGGCGUACUCCUCUGUACGCUAAGCAUACAGGCUGCAUGGCUUAUACGUUGCGCGUACGCGCUUGUACGCACAACGUACUACCCUGUUAAGCCAAAAUCUCAAAAAGAGCUUAACCCCUUAAGACCUAAAGCUCCAAACAUAUAUCCGAGUCCAAUAAAGUGUCUUAACACUUAAAGUUUACUUGGUGGCUUUCAUUCAUGAGGCAAGUUUUAAGCUUUUUGCCUCAAGUGAGUGCUAAAUGAUGAUGAUCUCUCAGAUCCUUAAGCUCAAGUGUGACAUCCCCAUUUUCACGGCCAGAAAAAACCGAUUUUGUUUAUGCUUUAUGAAAAUCAGAGUACCUCUCUUACAUUCAUUUACACUAGUGAUCUAUAUCUCCUUAAUCUCUCAGUGUAAUGUCACUUCAUAUCGACACCUGUGAUAUAAAUAAACUGAGCGGGUCAGGUUGGGAAACCUGGUCAGUACAUAGUGUUUUCAACCCACAAUAAUAUAAUUAUUAUGUUUAAACAAUCAAACAAUCAACCCAAUUACCCAUCCUCAUUAUCUUCUUUAGUCUUAAGGAUCUACCGUAAGAAUCAGCUAUUCCGCGUUCACUCAUUCCUAAGGAUCGUCCUAAGGAAUCGGCACGAAGUCCAUUGCUGCCACGGUUUACACAACGGGCACUAAGUCUGCAUAGUCGCCAGGGUUUAGGCAUCAAGUCUGCAUAUUCACCAGGGUUUAGGCAUCAAGUCUGCAUGAUCACCAGGGUUUAGGCAUCAAGUCUGCAUGAUCACCAGGGUUUAGAGUACACCGGGUGAACACAUAGUUCACAACACCUACAGGUUGCGAGUCUGCUAAUGUUCCACUGGACUGUCUAGAAUAGUCCAUGGUAGUCAUCCAUACUCUGCUGAAUGACGGGGCCAUCGUUUGGGAAAAGGCUUCUCACAUCGUCCACCUCUCACCCUCACCUCGUGGUCUAUAACACCUCUCAACUCAUCAUCCAACUCAUAUUCCAUCUAUUACAUCUACCCAUGUUUUACCCCAACAUUAUCGUAGAUAUAAAAUACAUAUACAGUUUAAAUCAUUUAAAACAUGUAUAAAAUCGUUCAUCUAGCAUAGACAGCAAGUACUCAGAUAAUAUGCACACAUAGCACGUAAUUUAUAUAAAAUACUUCAUAUCUAUGUGUAAGAUGAAAGUAACUAUGCACUCACCUGAUAAGUUGAUGACUCGGUACUCGGACAUCACUUUGUUACUGUUAAAACAAUUUCCCUCGAACAAAACCUACUAUCAUUACCACUAGAGUUUAGUCUAACGUUAACCGCGACUAAUUAAUAGUCUAGAUAAUAUUACUAUUGUAUAAGCAUUAAGAAACAAUCUUAUAUAACUCAUAAUAAUAUCCCAAAUACUCAUUAUAAUUUCCUAAUAACGUUACUAUAUUAAAACAUAAGCUAUACAAAAGAUAGGGUAGGCAUAGCUCACUUACAACGGGUUUUUCGCAAAACCGGGCUUCGCUGGAGCAGUGUUUCCGAGCCAAAAGGCUCUUUUCUCGGGACUCUAGGAGCCUCGGUGCUUCCUUCGGGUGCUAGGGGGUUUACCUAGACUUUAGGGGGCUUAAGGGAUGCUAGAGAGAGAAAGUGAGGUUUGAAGGUGUGAGGAAGUGAGGGAACUCGGCACCUCUAUUUAUAGGAGUGCUGACUGAUGGACUCGCCGAGUAGGAGGACCUACUAGCCGAAUUGGGUCAUGUGGCAGCCUUCUGGUGGUGCCAUGUCACUCCCUAUCGCGUAUCAGCCUUCAAACUUAGAAAAAUCAUAACUCUUGCAUACGAGCUCUGUUUUUAACGUUCUUUAUAUCCACACGUAGGUAAAAACAUGAUCUACAACUUUCAUUUAAACUCUGUCGGCUAAAUCUCGACCGAUCUCAAAUUUAAUAGUAGGAGGAGUUUAGACUGCUAAAUGACCGCAAAGAAUUCGUAACUCCUUCAAACGAAAUCCGUUUUCGUCUAUAUUUUUACCGUUGAGCUCCUAUUAAUGAGAUCUUCAACUCUCAUUUAGGUCGUGUAAGCCAAAAACCGCUCGAACUAAAAAUCGAGUUUUGGGUCGUGUACUGCUAAGCCAAAUCUUAGAAAAUUCAUAACUUCCUCAUACGAAAUCAGAUUUGGGCAUUUUUUUAUGGGCGCUCUUGGUUUAAUGUAUUCUACGAAUUUCGUUUAGAUCGCUAAUCCUAAAUCUCGCUCUAUCGUAAAUUCACUAUUUACGCUUCCCGGUGCCGUCCUGGUUCCGUCGUGAAACUUCGACGGGUCAUAACUUCUUCGUUAUAACUCGGAUUUCGACGCUCUUUAUAUGUACGGAAACCUUGUGACAUAUUCUACAACUUGGUUAAGAUUAUUUAUCUAAAUAAUCNUUUUGUCGAAAAGUCGUUUUCGACCCCUUUUAUCUCUAAAUUGACUAGCCCAGAUCUACGUGCGUUACAAUUAUCUCCCCCUUAGGAUGAUUACGUCCCAGAAUCAUCAACGAAACAGGGCUCGUAUAAUGACUCCAUAUGUUAUAUAUUCAUCCUAGGUAAUAAUUAUAACUUCUAUAUUCCUUCGGAGCUAUCUCUUAGACUUAUUGACAACAAGCAGUACUCGAUCUCUCAGGUUAGACUCCAUAUUAUGACCUUCAAGUCACAAUCUCGAUCCUUACUAGAUACAAGCUUAAGAUAAGUUCUUUUAUUACUACAAUGGAACGAUGUGUCAUAUUCUAAUGACCUAUCAUCGUAUGUUGCAAUGCUUAGACUCAGGUCUUUUAGAGUCAAAUUCCAGAACAGGCUAUACCUUCCUUCAUGUUCUAAUCACAUCUUAAAAGGUAGUAUUUGUAGCUACAAGCAACCGUCGCGAUACCUCUACCGAUCACUUCGAUUAUCUUUUACUUCGAUCCUAUGGCUUAAUUCAGAUGUUACAUCGAACUUGGUUCUCUGAACCACGUAACAUACUCAUCGUAUUCGGACUCAAUUUGAUAUAACCACUACGGUCAGAAUAACAACAAUCUUCUUAGUAAUUACCGAAAUGAUGGUAACAACAUGUUUGAAUAAAAUGGACUCAAUUAUUGGCUUCUUGGUAACCUUGUGACUUUCCCUGAUCCAAGCGUGAGUCCUGUGCUUCCGGUAGUAUAUGCAUCUACUACCUUUCACACCUACUCAUACUCGCCCCAAGUAUUGUCUCGCAGUUUUCCAAGUCACCAUACAGGAAAGUCACAUAACAGUUUAACACAUCAGAUAACAAAACGAGGGCUUUAUUAUUUCUCGAAACUAUUACAUAAGUGUUCAAGUUCACCUUAGACUAUGCCUCUAAUAUGCUACAUCAUACGAUACUAUGGCUACUGCAUAACUUGAUCUUUGGAUAUGAAUUCCUCAUCCUUGGUUCCUCGCAUUGUUUUCUGCUUCGUCGAGGAUCAUGUGGAAUACCCUUGGCCUUGGCGGCAUGUUUGGCCUGGUUGUCUCGUUUUUCUUUGGGCAAUCCCUAGAAAUAUGCCCUUCUUUGUUAUAUCCAUAGCACACCUUCUUGUUGGACGCACACUUGCUGGCGUAAUGCCCUGUCUUUCCACAUUUAUAGCAAGUCACCUCCUCGCUACACUUCCCGAAGUGCUUCUUUUUACACUUUUCGCACCACUUGGCUUCACCUCCUCCUCCUUCUUUAGUCUUUGAGAAUUUCCUUUCUUUGUUGGAUUUUGAAGAUCCUUCAUGCUUCCUUUUCUCGCUAACUUCAGCUCUCUUUAGACCUUUUUCCCUAAUCUGGGUCACAACAUUCCUGGCUGCCCAGAUGGCGGCUUUCAAAGUGGCUGUUUGCUUAACCAUUGGACCAAAGUCCGCUGGUAAUCCAAGGGAAAAUUUGUUAACAUUGGAGAGUUUAGUUGGGACGUGGUGAGGAACAAACUUCAUUUUCUCAGUAAAACUUGCAGCGUAUUCAGUAACGCUCAUUCUUCCUUUCUUUAGAUUUUGGAACUCGUUGUUGAUCUCUAGAAGAUCCUGCUCAGAGCAAUAUUGCAUCUUCAACUGCACCAGAAAAUCCUCCCACGACAUCUUGCUUGCUUCACCUUUGGGCAUUGAAUCAGCUAGUAGCUUCCACCAGCUUAGUACUCCAGAUUUCAAUAGAGGAACCGCAAGAGCGGUCUUCUGCCUAUUGCUACACUCGCAACUCUUAAACAUCGUCUCCAUCUCAGAGAUCCAGUUCAUGACUUCCACCGGCGUCGGGCUUCCAGAUAGACUCGGUGGUUUGGACACCAUGAAAUCCUUGUAUUUGCAUCCACGUCCGUCAUUUCCUCCAUCUUGGUGGUUUUGCCUAACUAUCGGUGGGUUGGUCUGACCAAUAGUCCCACUGUAGUUUCCCUCCUCAGUCUGCCCUUCGUUCAACUCGGGCUGUUCGAUCUUUAUGGUCGCUUCCUCUCGAUUUUGCUGGAGAAAACGUCUGGUUUCCUCCAUUUGACGAUCCAACAUCGCCUGGAUCAUUGCUUGAACUCCGUCCAUUGUUAUUGGCUCAGCAUCGGCUACCACAACCGGUAUUUGCUCAAUCACUGGGGGUUGGUUUCGGUUCCCAUUUCAUUCACGUUUCCGCUACGGGUCCUUGCCAUCUUGAUCUAUACACCGAAUAAGGUGAAUCUAGAUCUUUAUUUAGGAUUGACGUUUAAAUCAUCCUUAUCACUCCGAACCGUUUAUAUGCUAGUUCUAAUAUCGUAUUCAUAUGUUUAGAAUCCUAAACACGUAAGGUUUCCAGAUCCGGUCGCUAACAGACCAUAGAUCCGAUCAAACUAUAGCAUAAAGCAUAACAAAUCAUUUAGCACAUAAAAGCAAUUUAGGCAUCAUUCCUAAAAUAAGCUAGUGCUUAUGUUUAUUGAGGUGUAUUACCAAAAUCUAUUAGACACACUCCUCACAAUCAUCACUUAGCAUUCUAAGUUUAAGUCUAGAAAUUUUGUACAAAUUCCUAGUUCGCUUAAAUUAAUGCUCUGAUACCAACUGUGACAUCCCCAUUUUCACGGCCAGAAAAGACCGAUUUUGUUUAUGCUUUAUGAAAAUCAGAGUACCUCUUUUAAUAAAAAUGUUGCGAACUUUAUUCCCAGAAAAACACGAUAAAUACAUUAUCAAAGCAUUUCCAAAGAAACGUAUUUUAUUCAUUUUAAAACAUUUGGGAUGUCAUCGUCAAUAGAAAAACAUAAGCAUAAACAGAACUUACAUUCAUUUACACUAGUGAUCUAUAUCUCCUUAAUCUCUCAGUGUAAUGUCACUUCAUAUCGACACCUGUGAUAUAAAUAAACUGAGUGGGUCAGGUUGGGAAACCUGGUGAGUACAUAGGGUUUUCAACCCACAAUAAUAUAAUUAUUAUGUAUAAACAAUCAAACAAUCAACCCAAUUACCCAUCCCCAUUAUCUUCUUUAGUCUUAAGGAUCUACCGUAAGAGUCAGCUAUUCCGCAUUCACUCAUUCCUAAGGAUCGUCCUAAGGAAUCGACAUGAAGUCCAUUGCUGCCACAGUUUACACAACGGGCACUAAGUCUGUAUAGUCGCCAGGGUUUAGGCAUCAAGUCUGCAUGAUCACCAGGGUUUAGGCAUCAAGUCUGCAUGAUCACCAGGGUUUAGAGUACACCGGGUGAACACAUCGUUCACAAUACCUACAGGUUGCGAGCCUGCUAGUGUUCCAUUGGACUAUCUAGAAUAGUCCAUGGUUGUCAUCCAUACUCUGCUGAAUGACGGGGCCAUCAUUUGGGAAAGGUUUCUCACAUCGUCUACCUCUCACCCUUACCUCGUGGUCUAUAACACCUCUCAACUCAUCAUCCAACUCAUAUUCCAUCUAUUACAUCUACCCAUGUUUUACCCCAACAUUAUCGUAGAUAUAAAAUACAUAUACAGUUUAAAUCAUUUAAAAC
rnacentral:lncRNA from 1 species